GCCAGGGACAGCUCAGACUGGUAAAGCACGAGACUCUUAAUCUCAGGGUUGUGGGUUCGAGUGCUACGUUGGGCC